CUGCCCCCGACACCCUCCCCAGGGCCACCUGUCCUCUUCACAACCCCCACCACCCCCACUGAGCCCUGGCCUCCAACCCAUUUCCAUGUCCUCCUCUGAGUCCCAUUCCUUGCUGAACAAAGUGCUCAGUGAAAAAAAGGUGGAGGGUCUAGGGUGAAAGAAGAGAUCCAGGGUGUACCUGGUGCAGCCUUUUGGGAACAGAAACUUGCAAGUCUCUGUGGGCCUGCGCAAGCUAAGGCCUGGGCUCCUGGCCGACUUUUCUGCUGGUCCAGAAGACACCCACACGCCCAAACCUCGGGGAAUGCGGCUUGCUGACCUUGGCAGGAAGGAGGGCUGAGUCGGCCUUUUGCAUAACAUAAAUACUCAGCACAGCUGCCUCCGACCUGCCCACUUCUUGUCAAAUCCAAGAAGGAAGGGACCUCCUGGCCAAACCCUUUACCCCACUGCACCUCAGACCCCAAGGAACUUGGACUCUGCUCAAGUCAGUAAGUUGGAGCUCCCCACGUCCCCAAACUGGCCGCUCAUGGAGGAAAAACCUGGGGAGGAAGGACAGAGAGAAAACCCGAGGAGCUGCCUGUUAUAAUGGAAAAAUAAAACGUCUUCUUGGGAAGCUCCCUACAAACUCUGUUAGGGAAGCUCUGGUCCUUUCUGCCUUGGCUGAUCCAGAGGAGAAAAGGAAAGAAGAAAGAACAAAAUAAUUUAACUUGGCAAAAGAGCUCUUUCCCGGUGCUUUUCUCACCCAUCCUCACCAUGAACGCUGGACCCUGCAUCACCUUCCCAACCCCAUCCCUGGGGCUGAUCUUGACUCAGUCCUUUGUUCAAAAUGUACUGUCACCACCCCCAUCCUUACCACCAUUGGUAAUGCCCUCCCUUCCUCCCUUCUGUCUGUCUACGUCCCACACAUCCUUCUAGACCUGACUCGAGUCCCAGGACUUCCACGAAGCUUUCUCCCACUCACUCUGAUUUCUCUCUUCUUGGAACUCUUGACAUCCUGGAGUCAGUCCCACACACACUGUUAGCACUUAAUUUUUCUCUAAUACUUUCAUGAAAAUUAGCUCUGUCUUACCAGCUUCUUGUCAUCGCUUAGAGAGCACAGCCCAGUUGCAUACUGGGAUGGGCUCAGUAAGUACAGGUUGAUGGGUGGGUUCCUGGAAAAAUGGCAAGUUCUUCCAGCGUAUGAGGAUUGGCCACCAUGCUCAUCUUCCAGGGUCUACCACACCAUAGGGUAAAUUGGAAGGAGGGUCUUUGGUCCUGGAAUUUGGAGAUGAGGCUCCAACAGGAAGGAGAACUGAGCUGCUAUGAGUAAGCCUGGACUAGCCCAUGGAGGAUGAGACUUCAUGGAGCAGAGAUGGGCCAUCCCAGUUGAGGGCCCCUAAAGCAAUCAACCUCGAGCUGAUCUGCCAGCUGACUGCAGCUGCAUGAGUGACCCCAGGCAAGACCAGCAGAAGAACUGCCAACUGAACCCAACCCAGCUGGCUGACUCAGAAUCAUGAGGAAAUAAAAGGGUUG
rnacentral:lncRNA from 1 species